rnacentral:rRNA from 1 species
AUUGAACGCUGGCGGAAUGCUUUACACAUGCAAGUCGAACGGCAGCACGGACUUCGGUCUGGUGGCGAGUGGCGAACGGGUGAGUAAUAUAUCGGAACGUGCCCAGUCGUGGGGGAUAACGUAGUGAAAAUUACGCUAAUACCGCAUACGAUCUAAGGAUGAAAGCGGGGGAUCGCAAGACCUCGCGCGAUUGGAGCGGCCGAUAUCAGAUUAGGUAGUUGGUAGGGGAAAGGCCUACCAAGCCAACGAUCUGUAGCUGGUCUGAGAGGACGACCAGCCACACGGGAACUGAGACACGGUCCAGACUCCUACGGGAGGCAGCAGUGGGGAAUUUUGGACAAUGGGCGAAAGCCUGAUCCAGCCAUUCCGCGUGCAGGAUGAAGGCCCUCGGGUUGUAAACUGCUUUUGUACAGAACGAAAAGGUCUCUACUAAUACUAGGGGCUCAUGACGGUACUGUAAGAAUAAGCACCGGCUAACUACGUGCCAGCAGCCGCCGCAG